AGUGAACGCUGGCGGUAGGCCUAACACAUGCAAGUCGAACGGCAGCACAGUAAGAGCUUGCUCUUACGGGUGGCGAGUGGCGGACGGGUGAGGAAUACAUCGGAAUCUACUUUUUCGUGGGGGAUAACGUAGGGAAACUUACGCUAAUACCGCAUACGACCUACGGGUGAAAGCAGGGGAUCUUCGGACCUUGCGCGAUUGAAUGAGCCGAUGUCGGAUUAGCUAGUUGGCGGGGUAAAGGCCCACCAAGGCGACGAUCCGUAGCUGGUCUGAGAGGAUGAUCAGCCACACUGGAACUGAGACACGGUCCAGACUCCUACGGGAGGCAGCAGUGGGGAAUAUUGGACAAUGGGCGAAAGCCUGAUCCAGCCAUACCGCGUGGGUGAAGAAGGUCUUCGGGUUGUAAAGCCCUUUUGUUGGGAAAGAAAAGCAGCAGGUUAAUACCCCGCUGUUCUGACGGUACCCAAAGAAUAAGCACCGGCUAACUUCGUG
rnacentral:rRNA from 1 species